AUUGAACGCUGGCGGCAGGCCUAACACAUGCAAGUCGAGCGGAUGAAGGGAGCUUGCUCCUGGAUUCAGCGGCGGACGGGUGAGUAAUGCCUAGGAAUCUGCCUGGUAGUGGGGGAUAACGUCCGGAAACGGGCGCUAAUACCGCAUACGUCCUGAGGGAGAAAGUGGGGGAUCUUCGGACCUCACGCUAUCAGAUGAGCCUAGGUCGGAUUAGCUAGUUGGUGGGGGUAAAGGCCUACCAAGGCGACGAUCCGUAACUGGUCUGAGAGGAUGAUCAGUCACACUGGAACUGAGACACGGUCCAGACUCCUACGGGAGGCAGCAGUGGGGAAUAUUGGACAAUGGGCGAAAGCCUGAUCCAGCCAUGCCGCGUGUGUGAAGAAGGUCUUCGGAUUGUAAAGCACUUUAAGUUGGGAGGAAGGGCAGUAAGUUAAUACCUUGCUGUUUUGACGUUACCAACAGAAUAAGCACCGGCUAACUUCGUG
rnacentral:rRNA from 1 species